GACGAACGCUGGCGACGUGCCUAAUACAUGCAAGUCGAGCGGAACUGGUGGAGCUUGCUCCUUCCAGUUUAGCGGCGGACGGGUGAGUAACACGUGGGCAACCUGCCCUGCAGAUCGGGAUAACUCCGGGAAACCGGUGCUAAUACCGAAUAGUUUGAGGCCUCUCCUGAGGCUUCACGGAAAGACGGUUUCGGCUGUCACUGCAGGAUGGGCCCGCGGCGCAUUAGCUAGUUGGUGGGGUAACGGCCCACCAAGGCCACGAUGCGUAGCCGACCUGAGAGGGUGACCGGCCACACUGGGACUGAGACACGGCCCAGACUACUACGGGAGGCAGCAGUAGGGAAUCUUCCGGAAUGGACGCAAGGCUGACGGAGCAACGCCGCGUGAGUGACGAAGGUUUUCGGAUCGUAAAACUCUGUUGUGAGGGAAGAACACGUACCAACUAACUACUGGUACCUUGACGGUACCUCACCAGAAAGCCACGGCUAACUACGUGCCAGCCGCCGCAGUAA
rnacentral:rRNA from 1 species